rnacentral:rRNA from 1 species
GUAGGUGAACCUGCGGAAGGAUCAUUACCUAGAGUUUGUAGACUUCGGUCUGCUACCUCUUACCUAUGUCUUUUGAGUACCUUCGUUUCCUCGGCGGGUCCGCCCGCCGAUUGGACAACAUUCAAACCCUUUGCAGUUGCAAUCAGCGUCUGAAAAAACAUAAUAGUUACAACUUUCAACAACGGAUCACUUGGUUCUGGCAUCGAUGAAGAACGCAGCGAAAUACGAUAAGUAGUGUGAAUUGCAGAAUUCAGUGAAUCAUCGAAUCUUUGAACGCACAUUGCGCCCCUUGGUAUUCCAUGGGGCAUGCCUGUUCGAGCGUCAUUUGUACCUUCAAGCUCUGCUUGGUGUUGGGUGUUUGUCUCGCCUCUGCGUGUAGACUCGCCUUAAAACAAUUGGCAGCCGGCGUAUUGAUUUCGGAGCGCAGUACAUCUCGCGCUUUGCACUCAUAACGACGACGUCCAAAAGUACAUUUUUACACUCUUGACCUCGGAUCAGGUAGGGAUACCCGCUGAACUUAAGCAUAUCA